rnacentral:rRNA from 1 species
CAGUCGCCGCGGUAAUACGAAGGGGGCUAGCGUUGCUCGGAAUCACUGGGCGUAAAGGGUGCGUAGGCGGGUCUUUAAGUCAGGGGUGAAAUCCUGGAGCUCAACUCCAGAACUGCCUUUGAUACUGAGGAUCUUGAGUUCGGGAGAGGUGAGUGGAACUGCGAGUGUAGAGGUGAAAUUCGUAGAUAUUCGCAAGAACACCAGUGGCGAAGGCGGCUCACUGGCCCGAUACUGACGCUGAGGCACGAAAGCGUGGGGAGCAAACAGGAUUAGAUACCCGUGUAGUCCCUGUCUCUUAUAC